CAAGCUGCACAUGCAUCCAGCCUCUAGAAGUCAUCCACACGAGCCCAUGAAUCACGAUCAGAAGUGCUGGUCCAGAAAAUCAGUACAGUAUGCUAGUACUGUGCUGAUCCUUCUUCGAUGGUCGAUCGGAUGCCUCCUUCUUCUUGAUUUGGACUCUUCAAAAGAUGAAAAGUUGGAGAAGAAGUUUUAGAUAUGAGACACUCUCAGAAAACUCAUAG
rnacentral:lncRNA from 1 species